UACAAACUCUUACUAAUUAUUGAGGAUUAACCAACUCCACCGAACACCUGAGGCUUUAUCACAUUUUAUGGAAAAAACCUAAUCGCUGUUUUCCUACAUGUGAUCCAAGCAUUCGAUAAAAUCUAGCAUGGCGUAUUUUUGAUAUGACAUUAAAUUACUAGAAUGGAAAUGUGAAGACCAUUAAAUUUCAGAAAAUGUACUACCGUAAUGGGCAGAAACUCUUCAUUGCGCAUUGAAAGUAAACUUUCAUUUUACCAACAGGCACUCAAGCCAAUGUGGAUUUAUGGCGUCUACUAUUGCCAGCAAGACCAACCACCAAAUCAUGCUAAGAUUUCAUAGUAUUGAGAACAUGGUCAAUGCACUCUGCCCACCAUGAAAAGUCGUCAACAUACAAGCAGUUCACCUGUUUGACGAUUCAAAAGCCGCAAGAUCUGUGCUGGUGUAACGAAGUGAAUGUACGAGUAAAAACCUAUAUUAUGAAUCUAAGUUUCUUUGUCAUUAAUAUAGUAGGUAUGGGAAAAAGAUUACAUAUUAGCUAUGAUAUAUCUAUGUUGUAAUAUCAAUUGUCUCUUCACCUUUGAGGUUUGGAGGGGGGGGGGAUUUUUCAUCCAAAAUGUCACCGAUUUUUUCUUUCGAAACUCACGAAAAUAAAGAAAACUUCAAACUACUACUGGUCUACGUGAAACAUUAUAGUAGUUUUCCAACCAUGUAAUCGACACUUAAUGGCACAAACCUGGCCUACGCAAAUAAAAUAUAACGAGAAAUAAAAUAAAACAUUUAA